rnacentral:lncRNA from 1 species
GAUGAUAGUGUUCAUAUAUGUAUACUGGAGCAAAUAUAUAAAAUUAUUUGUUAUGAUUAUUAGUGAUUAAUUAGUUAAUUUAUUUUAGGAAGUAAAGCUUUUUAAAUAAAAUCUACUCAAAGAGGCUCCCUAAGAUCAUCUACAACAUUCUAGUUAUUGCCUUUUUGUUGGCCAAACUGACUAGCAAGAAGCUGAAAAUGGGUUCCAACAGCCUAGCUAUCGCCCUCACUAUUAUCGUUUGGUACUACAGUUACUAGCCAAUCGUGGACAAACAGGCAGUUUUCGUGACCAAAGUAGCAAUAAUACAGACUCACAGAGUAACAGAGGCAUAAACGAAGAUGAUUAAUUCGCCAUUUCAACCGGCAAAAACAUC